UCUAUUGUCAUGUAUCCAGCGGUCAUAGCUGGUUGUCACACUGUAGCGGAGGCCGGCUUGCUGUAGGAGACGCGAGCGUUCCGAUUGUAAACCCGUACAUGUCCAUAUUAGGUGGUAUGCAUCUGAUUCCACCACAGGAACGGAGCAGUAUGGACACGUAGCACCCAGUGGUAAAUGCGGCCAGUUCCACCUUGAUACAACAGUCGGUGUAAGGGCCACCCCGGCCCGAAGCCUCCUAAGCACAACUUCCUCCGCCAUAGUAAGGUGAAGGGGGAGGGAGCAGACACACGGUGGGAUAAGAGCGCGUGUGUCCUGCCGGAGAACAUUUUUACGGGCUCGCAGCGAGUUACGGGGUUGGGGUGGGAGGGGAAUAGGUGGAGGAUCAGGAUUAGGAGGGGAGUGUGCCUGCUGGUCAGCAGCAAUGUUGUGAGGGUUCGCUGAAUGGCCUUGGAUCCAGUGUACCUUGACGCAAGUAGCUGUCUUACUAUUCAUAGUGUGUAUUCUCUCGCAGAUUUCCAUCGCCUUAUCAACCUUCUUGAGUUCCUGAAUAGCCGCUAAAGAAUCGACUUAUGCACCACACUGACGAAGGCCAGCAUGAGGCAGAACGCCUUCGCGCGUUCGUGCCACACGCUGUGAGCUCGGCCACUCGCAAUGCUGACGUUAAGUGCGUCUCAAUUCAACUGGCUUCCCAAGACACUAUGGUGCCGGUCACAAAUGCUCCUGCCUUCGCCGAAGCGACUCGGCAUCAGGUCCUCGCUCGGCAAAAGGACGCCGAGCGUGAAACAAACCUGCAACUCCGUCGUGCUCUCGCAAAUUGUGCUCCUUUCGCUGCAGCGGACUGUCUGUCCACAAACUCGCACAGCUUCUGUGAAGACAGGUUUCAUUUCUUGUUAUGCCGAUUUGCGUCAAAGAGGGAUCAAUCGUAUCAUGUUUUAAAAAGAAACUUCCUUGUUUCGUGAGA